GCCGAGCCUAGUAGCGUGGACUUAUAACUAAGCAGGACAUUAAAGUGAUUGGUUGCUUGAGCAAGUCUUGUUAGGUGAAGUGUGGUGGUCUUGCACUGUUCACCUUGGUGAAGUCGCACAAAGCACGCCCCCUACCCUCGGGUUAGUAGGGCCGCCCACCCUCAAUGGGUGGGUAGCAAACCUCAACUUGGUAUUAGAUUGGGGUGUUAGGUACGAAUACUAAACCUCACGGGUCAAGAGCCAUCACACCCCAGCGUCCUGCCUAGCUUGGCCUCUUAUCACACAAUCACUUUU
rnacentral:sRNA from 1 species